UCCGUCUGGAGUUCCUCCAGGGCCCACAACUUCGAGCUGCCAAACAUCAACAUAUAUAGUUAAGAAAAGCUACGAUGCUUGAAAAACCAUUGUACUAUUGGGGUUGGAAUGAGAAAAAGCAUACAAGAAGACACACAGUUCAGACCAAGAUGAGCAGAAACAGAGAUUUGAUGAAAGAAACAUACCUCCUUCACCUCCUGGGCAUCCAACUAUUCUCUUGUCAUAGUAGGACUUGACAACAGCAGGAGCUUCCUAAAAGCAGAUAAAAUCAAAUGUCAAAAAAUGACAUCACUCAAGAUUUCAUAAAAGGUCAAUUAUUUUAGAUUUCCAGUAGAAAGGUCUUAUCACCAUAAAAAGGAAGCCCAUACUCAAAAUGAUAAGUUUACAGAAGAA